rnacentral:rRNA from 1 species
UUAAUACUCAAAAAAAAGAGUUUGAUCCUGGCUCAGAAUGAACGCUAGCGAUAUGCUUAACACAUGCAAGUUGAACGUUGUUCUCAGAUUAAGAUGGAACAGAGUAGCGAACGGGUGCGUAACACGUAGGAAUCUGCCAAACAGUUUGGGCCAAAUCCUGAAUGAAUAAAAGCUAAAGAGCGCUGUUUGAUGAGCCCACGUAGUAUUAGGUAGUUGGUCAGGUAAAAGCUGACCAAGCCUACGAUGCUUAGCUGGUCUUUUCGGAUGAUCAGCCACACUGGGACUGAGACACGGCCCAGACUCCUACGGGAGGCAGCAGUGGGGAAUCUUGGACAAUGGGCGAAAGCCUGAUCCGGCAAUAUGGCGUGAGCGAAGAAGGGCAACGCAGCUCGUAAAGCUCUUUCAUCGAGUGUGCGAUUAUGACAAGACUCGAAUAAGAAGCCCCGGCUAACUCCGUGCCAGCAGCCGCGGUAAGACGGGGGGGGCUAGUGUUAUUCGGAAUGACUAGGCGUAAAGGGCGCGUAGGCGGUGAAUUCGGUUGAAAGUGAAAGUCGCCAGCUCAACUGGCGGAAUGCUUUCAACAUCAAUUCACUUGAGUAAGAUAGAGGAUAGUGGAAUUUCGUGUGUAGAGAUAAAAUUCACAGAUAUACGAAGGAACACCAAAAGCGAAGGCAGCUUUCUGGGUCUCUACUGACGCUGAGGUGCGAAAGCAUAGGGAGCGAACAGGAUUAGAUAAAUCCGACCGGGCUCCAAAUAAAAUACGGUCAAAGGUGUCCCCUCCGACCGCGAGGCCGGAGUGUGCAUCCAGCUAUUUCGGGGAAAUUUUGACGCGAAUGUACCAUUCAACAUAAGACAAUCCCGAGGGAAGUGCUUUGAUCUCGGAUCAAAGCACCCCGUAGAGACUAUGAAGAGAGGGAGAUAGAAGAUAUGAAAAAAAGUGAGCAAGGGCUGGCUAUUAAGGCUAACAGAGCAUCAAAGCUGAAAAAGCAAGACUUUUUUUGAGCUUUGCUCAAGCUAUUAACCUGCACUUGAAAACAUUCAAGCAAAUAUUUUUGUCGGAUUUAAUGAAAUCAACUAUUUUAUAACUCCUGAGAAAUGCCAAGAUUCUCCGGUUCGUCAUAGCCAGAUGAAAGAAAUUUGAGGCUCACUGUCUUAGCACCAAAUUCCGUGCGGGGGCAAGCUGCCGAUGGCUCUAGCCAGACUAAGCAGUUACUGAUGAUUUUGACAAAAAAAAAUAUGUCAAGUUUUUUAGUUCGGGAUUUAGACACUUUUCGUAAGGCCCAAAAAUCGCACGUACAGCCAAAAGUCUUACUUAUCGCUUUUGUCUCGGUAUCGAGGAACUUAAGAGACUGUGUCGAAUGAUCUUACCACACAUAUUUUAUUUCUGUGGCGAGCAUGCUCAAGAAAGUCUUAUUUUUGGUUUACAAAGAUUCUGAAAUUCAACAACGCUGGAUCUCUAAGCUCCACUUCAGGUGUAUUGACAAAUAAAUAGUUAGCAAUAAGAGAAGAAAGCAACUACAAAGAUUGGAGUUCAGAGAAUGAUAUAGUCCAUUUUUAAAGAUAGUCAUCACUACGUGAUCGUGAUGAGAUUUAUUUUCCAUUAUGACCUCGAGAAACAGGGCUCAAUGCUGGCGAAAAACUAUUUUUAAUAUGACCCUGGUAGUCUAUGCCGUAAACAAUGAGUGUUCGUCCUUGGUCCGCGCUGUAUGUAAAACGGCUGAUCAGGGGCCCAGCUAACGCGUUAAACACUCCGCCUGGGGAGUACGGCCGCAAGGCUGAAACUCAAAGGAAUUGACGGGGGCCUGCACAAGCGGUGGAGCAUGUGGUUUAAUUCGAUACAACGCGCAAAACCUUACCAGCCCUUGACAUAUGAAUAAGUUUGCUUGUCCUUAAUGGGAUGGUACGAAAAUUUAUACAGGUGCUGCAUGGCUGUCGUCAGCUCGUGUCGUGAGAUGUUGGGUUAAGUCCUAUAACGAGCGCAACCCUCGUUUUGUGUUGCUAAGACAUGCGUUUUGGGGUCAUAAUUGAGUACUCGGAACUGACGAGAACCACGCAAAAAGGAUAUCGCGCCGUAUUACACCACAUAGUUGGGUAUUUUUACGAGCACAGCUCUCAUAAUAGCGUGGCACACAUAACAAUGUGGCACCCAGUCUUUGUAAAGAUAAUUGACAAUCUAUGCCAUGUACUGCACUCACAAGAAACUGCCAGUGAUAUACUGGAGGAAGGUGGGGAUGACGUCAAGUCCGCAUGGCCCUUAUGGGCUGGGCCACACACGUGCUACAAUGGCAAUUACAAUAGGAAGCAAGGCUUUAAGGCGGAGCGAAUCCAGAAAGAUGGCCUCAGUUCGGAUUGUUCUCUGCAACUCGAGAACAUGAAGUUGGAAUCGCUAGUAAUCGCGGAUCAGCAUGCCGCGGUGAAUAUGUACUCAGGCCCUGUACACACCGCCCGUCACACCAUGGGAAUUGGCUUCGCCCGAAGCAUCAGACCAAGGAUCACCCAUUAUUCCAGUGUUCUACACCGUUGUUGAGUAUGGUCUACCAGAGUAAUUGGUGUUCUAGUGUGGGAUACCAAGGUGGGGCCUUUGACUGAGGUGAAGUCGUAACAAGGUAGCCGUAGGGGAACCUGUGGCUGGAUCGACUCC